AUUGAACGCUGGCGGCAGGCUUAACACAUGCAAGUCGAACGAGUUGCGGCCGUGUGAGUAAUGCUUGGGAAUCUGGCUUAUGGAGGGGGAUAAUGACGGGAAACUGUCGCUAAUACCGCGUAUCCUAGGAUGAGUCCCAGUGGGAUUAGGUCGUUGGUGGGGUAAGGGCCUACCAAGGCGACGGUCACUCGCUGGUCGGAGAGGAUGACAGGCCACACGGGGACUGAGACACGGCCCGGACUCCUACGGGAGGCAGCAGUGGGGAAUAUUGCGCAAUGGGGGCAACCUGACGCAGCCAUGCCGCGUGAAUGAAGAAGGCCUUCGGGUUGUAAAGUUCUUUCGGUGAGGAGGCGUUAAUCACAGAAGAAGCACCGGCUAACUCCGUGCCAGCAGCCGCGGUAAUAC
rnacentral:rRNA from 1 species